ensembl:lncRNA
GUGACACGCAAGCAGUAGCAGAGAACCUCCUCUAGGGGUGGCAUGACACGCAGGCAGUAGCAGAGAACCUCCUCUAGGGUGGCAUGACACCCAGGCAGAAGCAGAGAACCUCCUCUAAGGGUGGCAUGACACUCAGGCAGUAGCAGAGAACUUCCUCUAGGGUGGCAUGACACUCAGGCAGUAGCAGAGAACCUCCUCUAGGGUGGCAUGACACCCAGGCAGAAGCAGAGAACCUCCUCUAGGGGUGGCAUGACACCCAGGCAGUAGCAGAGAACCUCCUCUAAGGGGUGGCAUGACACCCAGGCAGUAGCAGAGAACUUCCUCUAGGGUGGCAUGACACCCAGGCAGUAGCAGAGAACUUCCUCUAGGAAAGCAUGACACCCAGGCAGUAGCAGAGAACCUCCUCUAGGGGUGGCAUGACACUCAGGCAGAAGCAGAGAACCUCCUCUAGGGUAGAAUGACACCCAGGCAGUAGCAGAGAACCUCCUCUAGGGGUGGCAUGACACCCAGGCAGUAGCAGAGAACCUCUAAGGGGUGGCAUGACACCCAGGGAGUAGCAGAGAACCUCCUCUAGGGGUGACAUGACACCCAGGCAGUAGCAGAGAACCUCCUCUAGGGGUGACAUGACACCCAGGCAGUAGCAGAGAACCUCCUCUAGGGUGGCAUGACACCCAGGCAGAAGCAGAGAACCUCCUCUAGGGGUGGCAUGACACCCAGGCAGUAGCAGAGAACCUCCUCUAAGGGUGGCAUGACACUCAGGCAGAAGCAGAGAACCUCCUCUAGGGUAGAAUGACACCCAGGCAGUAGCAGAGAACCUCCUCUAGGGGUGGCAUGACACCCAGGCAGUAGCAGAGAACCUCUAAGGGGUGGCAUGACACCCAGGGAGUAGCAGAGAACCUCCUCUAGGGGUGACAUGACACCCAGGCAGUAG